GUGAGGAAUAUUGGACAAUGGAUGGAAAUCUGAUCCAGCCAUGCCGCGUGCAGGAAGACGGCCCUAUGGGUUGUAAACUGCUUUUAUACGGGAGCAAUAAGGUCUAUGCAUAGAUUGAUGAGAGUACCGUAUGAAUAAGCAUCGGCUAACUCCGUGCCAGCAGCCGCGGUAAUACGGAGGAUGCGAGCGUUAUCCGGAUGUAUUGGGUUUAAAGGGUGCGUAGGCGGCUUUGUAAGUCAGCGGUGAAAUUUUGCAGCUUAAAUGUAAAAGCGCCGUUGAUACCGUGAAGCUAGGAUUUGGUUGCUGUGGGCGGAAUGUGUGGUGUAGCGGUGAAAUGCAUAGAGAUCACACAGAAUAUCGAUUGCGAAGGCAGCUCACAAAGCCAAUAUUGACGCUGAGGCACGAAAGUGUGGGGAUCAAACAGGAUUAGAAACCCGUGUAGUCC
rnacentral:rRNA from 1 species